rnacentral:rRNA from 1 species
UACAGAGGGGCAAGCGUUGUUCGGAAUUACUGGGCGUAAAGGGCGCGUAGGCGGCCUGCUAAGUCGAACGUGAAAUCCCCGGGCUUAACUCGGAAAGGUCAGCCGAUACUGCGGGGCUAGAGUGCAGAAGGGGCAACUGGAAUUCUCGGUGUAGCGGUGAAAUGCGUAGAUAUCGAGAGGAACACCUGCGGCGAAGGCGGGUUGCUGGGCUGACACUGACGCUGAUUGUGCGAAAGCUAGGGGAGCGAACGGG